GCAAGUCGAACGGCAGCAUCAAAGAGCUUGCUCUUUGGAUGGCGAGUGGCGGACGGGUGAGUAAUACUUAGGAAUCUAUCCAGUAGUUGGGGAUAACGUGGGGAAACUCACGCUAAUACCGAAUACGCACUACGGUGGAAAGAGGGGGCUCUUCGGACCUCUCACUAUUGGGUGAGCCUAAGCCGGAUUAGCUAGUUGGUGGGGUAAUGGCCUACCAAGGCGACGAUCCGUAGCUGGUCUGAGAGGACGAUC
rnacentral:rRNA from 1 species